GUUUUCACUUUUCAAAGACCAAGGUUUUGUUCUAGGGCAACUUGAACGUUAUAUCAUCUAUAUAUACAUUUUUGCAGUCAUUUUGUAAAAUAAAUCCUAGAGUUGGAACUUAUUUACAAUGGCUGCCACUGGCUUUUAAUUAUUAGUUUUUUCAGCAAUAAAUUGAUUAACAAACGAAAAACAUUCCAAAUAUAUUACAAUCCCAUAUAUCACGCAGAUUUUUCCAAAAUUUGAACUAGAUUUCGGUAAAUAUUUAAAACAAAAAAUGUUUGACAACCCAAAAGACAAUUGCAAUCCCUUAAAAUGAGCAAAACGCAACUAAAUACAUUUCUUAUCAAUUCACUAAAUCUUAUUUCUGCAAAAUUUGAACUAGAUUUCGAGAACUAUUUAAAACAAAAUUUUGUUUGACAAACUAAAACACGAUUGCAAUCCCGUAAAAUAUUUAUUUUAAUUAUAAAUUUAAAUUAGCAGGGUACCGCGGUUUUUUUUUACAGUACAGGUUUGGCGGAACGGGUUUGGAAGGACGUUACUUAAUAACAAUUGUAAACUAUAAAAUAAAAAUAUUUUAUAGAUAGAUAUAAUUUGCAAAAUUUUAUAUAUAUUAAUUUAAAAAAAUAAAUUGUCUCCACGGUGUACCGUGAGUUAAAAUCUAGUUAAACUAAU
rnacentral:sRNA from 1 species